rnacentral:rRNA from 1 species
UGCCAGCAGCCGCGGUAAUACAGAGGGUGCGAGCGUUAAUCGGAUUUACUGGGCGUAAAGGGCUUGUAGGCGGUUGUUUAAGUGUGAUGUGGAAGACCCGGGCUUAACCUGGGACAGUCAUUACAAACUGGACGACUAGAGUACGGUAGAGGGGAGUGGAAUUUCCGGUGUAGCGGUGAAAUGCGUAGAGAUCGGAAGGAACACCAGCGGCGAAGGCGGCUCUCUGGCCCGAUACUGACGCUGAGGUGCGAAAGUGUGGGGAGCAAACAGGAUUAGAUA